UACAGAGGUCUCAAGCGUUGUUCGGAUUCAUUGGGCGUAAAGGGUGCGUAGGCGGCGCGGUAAGUCGGAUGUGAAAUCCCGGGGCUCAACCUCGGAACUGCAUUCGAUACUGCUUUGCUGGAGUACUGGAGAGGAGAUUGGAAUUUACGGUGUAGCAGUGAAAUGCGUAGAUAUCGUAAGGAAGACCAGUGGCGAAGGCGGAUCUCUGGACAGUUACUGACACUGAGGCACGAAGGCCAGGGGAGCAAACGGG
rnacentral:rRNA from 1 species